UGUGUUUUGUCCGCGUCGCGGAGCUCGC
rnacentral:piRNA from 1 species